rnacentral:rRNA from 1 species
ACGAACGCUGGCGGCGUGCUUAACACAUGCAAGUCGAACGGAAAGGCCUGCUUUCCCUUGUGGAUUGCGGGUACUCGAGUGGCGAACGGGUGAGUAACACGUGAGUGAUCUGCCCCCAACUUGGGUAUAAGCCUGGGAAACUGGGUCUAAUUCCCGAUAGGACUGCAGGGUGGUUCCUGUGGUGGAAAACGAUUUUCUAGUGGUUGGGGAUGAGCUCGCGGCCUAUCAGCUUGUUGGUGGGGUAAUGGCCUACCAAGGCGGCGACGGGUAGCCGGCCUGAGAGGGUGGACGGCCACAUUGGGACUGAGAUACGGCCCAGACUCCUACGGGAGGCAGCAGUGGGGAAUAUUGCACAAUGGGCGGAAGCCUGAUGCAGCGACGCCGCGUGGGGGAUGACGGCCUUCGGGUUGUAAACUCCUUUCGACCGCGAGGAAGCCACCUGGUUGGAAGGGUGGUGACGGUAGUGGUAGAAGAAGCACCGGCUAACUACGUG